UGUUUGUGUGAUCUCAUCCUAGCC
rnacentral:piRNA from 1 species